GUGGGGAAUCUUGCGCAAUGGGCGAAAGCCUGACGCAGCCAUGCCGCGUGAAUGAUGAAGGUCUUAGGAUUGUAAAAUUCUUUCACCGGGGACGAUAAUGACGGUACCCGGAGAAGAAGCUCCGGCUAACUUCGUGCCAGCAGCCGCGGUAAUACGAAGGGGGCUAGCGUUGCUCGGAAUUACUGGGCGUAAAGGGCGCGUAGGCGGACAGCUUAGUCAGAGGUGAAAGCCCAGGGCUCAACCUUGGAAUUGCCUUUGAUACUGGCUGUCUUGAGUUUGGGAGAGGUGAGGGGAACUCCGAGUGUAGAGGUGAAAUUCGUAGAUAUUCGGAAGAACACCAGUGGCGAAGGCGACUCACUGGCCCAAUACUGACGCUGAGGCGCGAAAGCGUGGGGAGCAAACAGGAUUAGAAACCCGGGUAGUCC
rnacentral:rRNA from 1 species